GAAGCUCACAGAGGACUCUUUGCCUACAGGCUAGAGGCAGUCUGAAACCCAGCUGUUUCAACUUUCAUUAUCUUGUCUCUUUAUAUCUGGAAGUUAUUUUUUAAAUAACAAUUCUUCCCCCCAUCCCAUCCCCUAUAUCUUUAAUUAGGCCAUUCAACCAACUUUGUGGUGACUAUCCUUUUACCCUCCAAUCGGUCUAAAGACUACUGGAUUGCUAAGGGAUCAGCUUUGCUCUGCCAACUGAAUGAGUGAACAAAUGCCACAUUAGUCCAGAGGUCUUCCCUGAUGGAGGGGAAAGUUUGACCAAUUUACAUUGGAGCAAAAUGAUGUUACUUCUGAUUUGACUUAAGGUAGUAAGUAAGUAUGGCUGUUUCUCUUAUGACUUAAAAUAAAGUGUUCUGAGUUCUUUCUGUUAGUAAUCCAGGCUUUGAUGUGAAGACGGUGGGUUCUGCACCCACCUAUUAAACCUGUUCCUUCAUCCAUGUGAGAGUCAGGCCUCUUCCCAUCAGUAACCUGAGGGACCCACUGGAAGAGUCAGGACUUAUCCCCUCACCUACACAGGCUCCCUUCCUCAUCACACUCUUAUGAAAGGUCAAUGUGUACUUUAAUCACAUAGCCCUGGGUGCUUCUGUUUCUAGACUAAUUAAGGCUCUCAGAACCCAGCACCUGGGGAGUGAAUUCAGUGGUUGCAACAACUGGUAAAGCAAAUGAGCAGGAAGAUAAGAUCUUGGCCAUGGUGCCAGUUACCUGACUCUAUGAGGUUAUAUUACAAACCUUGGAAGGGCCUUCAUUUUCAUAAAAGUGCAGGCUGCUCCUGCCCAAGUACAGAGGAAUUUUCCUCCUUUAUUUUAAUAUGAACCUGGGUGAAAACUAACCAAGUCCCCACCAGGUAUGUUUGAGCCCAUCACCUCAAAAGCAGAGGUUGUUGGCCCAGUGAAUAAGUGGAGCAGCCCAUUUUGAGAAACAUUUUAUGCCAGCCCUUCCAACAAGGAUCAUUGCUUCCUUGGCCAUAACAUAAUCCAGGAAAUUGGGGAAACCACACAUAUGAGCCUCUGGAAAAAGCCACACCACCCUCUUACAAAAUGUGGGAGGAAUAGGAUCAACCACAGUGAUCCUACUGUCCCAUUUUAUCUCUGCCCCCUACCUUUAUCUCCACUUCUGACAAAAUUAACUCAAGGACUUGAGUGGGACCAAUAAGAAGUAGUUGUGUUUGCUCCAAAUCUGGUUUAGGAUAAAUUUGAUUGUCUGGGCUUGUAGCUUUGACUUCCCUUCCUUUCCUGAGGCUUUCUUGUGAGCUCAUUCUCAAUCAACUUGACUCAAGUUGCAAAAAAGUAUGGAGUCCCAUUUCUAUCAGAGUUCAAUGCAAAGACUACUCUUGGGUAUUUCAAGCAUAAAUAGGAGCCAACAAAGGCACUUCUACAGCUACAGAAGUCAGAGGGUCAAUAUCAGGCACCAUGGAAGCUAUAAUCCAAAGUCAGAAAGCUACAGGAAAGUGUCAACCUCAUAGGUGCUCCACACCCAUGAAGGUGACCAGAGUAUGAAGCAAAGCCUGGCCACUGCACAAACUUAUGUCUUCUGGAGACUGCAUGAUUGCUGCCACCAAUGAAGAAAAAGACACUCUGCCCACUCCUGCUUUCCAAACCUUACUCAUUGUGUCUCAUUAGGAGAAUCUAAAUCAUAGCAGCAAGGAAAUCUGGAAGUUUUUAGCCCUCCUACCUCCUAUAGUACACGGGUUACAAAAUGAAACAAAGGAUCCUAAGUGCUAUUGCACUACUUUUGUUAAGGCCACAAAAAUGAUUGAGAAUGAGCUCACAAGAAAGCCUCAUGAAAGGAAGGAAAGGCAAAGCUACAAGCCCAGGCAAUCAAGCUUACUCUAAACCAGAUUUGGAACAAACACAACUACUUCUUAUUGGUCCCACUCAAGUCCCAAGCAGACCUACUUGGAGUUUUGUGAGCUACUCAGAGGCCUAGGAGGACCAGAAGGGAACCUUGCCACAGGGAGGAGAUCCUGGUCUGAAAUUUGGGGAUUAGAAGAAGAUAGAUGAUCUGGAGAGGGUGUAACGUUCCCAUUUCAGACACAAUUAGGGCAGUUCUGCAAUUACUUUUAUAGCUCCCCCAUAAGAUUUUAUUUGUAAAAGGCAUUAUCAGUAAACAUGUAAAUAAUAAAUAACAAGACAGGAGUGAGUAGUUUAAAAACCACUUCUUUCACAACACCCCUGAAAAGCCUGCCCAUCCCCCUAGUCUCCAGCAUGUCAGAAAGUCACACUAAUAUAUGUAAAGAAGUACCUAUCAGAGCACAAGGAGCACCCUGUUCACCAGUCCUUGAACAGAGACAUACAUGGCCUACUGACUGCCCUGCAUCCAAAAUUUGGGGCAAACUGGAAGGACAGCAGAAGGAGGGAGAGACAGGUCAAGAUCUGCAGCUGAAUAGUGCAAAGCCCAGGAAGAAAGCAAUGAUAGUUUUCAGAGGGUGUGAGCGAAAGUUAUUUGCCUCUUAGAUUCACAUCAUAAAAAAAAGUCUACACAAAACCAGUAUUUAGUUAUUUCAUACCAUUCAUUUACAAUUUAUUUUCAUCCAACUCAUUAUGUUACAAAACUGUACAUCUCCUCCCAACACUGUUGGAUAACCCAGGUCAUUUGUUAGGAAGAGAAGAAUCACCACUGGGCUUCUUCUUCAGAUGUCUUCUCUCCUGGGUUGGGCUUAUCAAGACCAGACCAAAGUGUGGAAUGCGGGAAUGGCAAUCCUUUAAGUAAGGUCUUGGCCUGGCUCCUCCAGUUGCUACAAGAGGGAUGUCUCUGUUGGGAAAGCAACCACCAGUCCCAAGAACACAGAAGUCCAGAGAGACAGGCAGGUGGUACUGGCCACCAUCUGGCUGUGGUGGGAAUGUCUGUGGUGAGGGAGCCACAAUUCAGCAGAGAUAUGCCUGUCCAGGACAGGGACCUGGAGUUGUGGGGCCAUAGCACUAGGAAUUCAAGAGAAAUACAGAAUCUCAGGGCACAGCAAAAGCCUAAUAUAUACUCCAAUUCCCCCAAACAUCCCCUGGGUUUUUCAUUUCCCCCCUUUAAAGGCAGGAAUAGAUAUUAGUAUAUGGACAGGCUGCCUAUAUCUUUGGCCCUAUUUUGUGACUUUGGCCACUACUCCCAGAAAACCAAGUGACAGAGGACUUUAGCAGUCUUGCCAAUUACCCCCACACUAUAUACACACCAUUUGACUCUUGAUUCAAGGAUUAUUUCAGGCAGGCUCCUCCUGGUCACACUCCCCACUCAUAUACACAGUACACACACGCCCACAGCACCUACACUUUCUUUGCAGAUCAUUUACUCAAAAUCUAGCUUCAUGUGCAUACUGUGAGCUCCUUGAAGGCAGAGAUCAAUGUCUAUGUGUUUCACCCGACAAAUAGCACCACUACAACAGCAGACUUAGGAGGAACUCAAUGAGCUUGGGUUUAUUUUAACUGGAUUGUGGAUCCCAGCCUUUCUAUAAGCUUUAUGCCCUGCAGAACCACAAUUUUCUAUCCAACUCUGAUCCACACAUUAGCCCUCAGAGGGCAUCUUGUGUUUAACCACUCUCAGAAAACAAGCCCUUUCCUACAGAGUUGAUUCUAGCUCUGCAAAACUACAAAAUUCUCCCAGAUCUGCUAGGAGAAAGGGCUGGAAAAUUAAAUUCUUCACAACCUUCAUUCUACUUUAAAAAAGAUCUACCUUUACCCCCACAUUUGUUGUUGUUGUUUUUUUUUUAAGAUGUCGAUGGACCUUUAUUUUAUUUAUUUAUUUAUAUGUGGUGCUAAAAAUUGAACCCAGUGCCUCGCACAUGCUGGGCGAGCACUCUACCACUGAGCCACAACCCCAGCCCCCACAUUUGUUCUUUCACAAACAUAAACAUGUGGCCCUUGCCUUGGCUUGAAGCAGCAACCUUAAAUCUGGAUUCACAUCAUAGCACAGGCAGAAGAGAAAUGACUGGGAAAGGCUGCUCCCUGAUUGGGCAAUUCCCAGCCCUCUCAGUUUAAGAGUCACCUGGGUCUGCUCACCACCCAUAUUUCAGGGGAAGGAGAGAUGCCAGCAAGGCUCUGCCCAUCUGUCUCACCUCUCUUCCAGGAAGACCCACAGGUUGAACCACUGCCUCAGUACCAGGCACCUCCGCUUCUUCCUGAACUUUUGUCCCGACUAGUCUAGUUGGUUGGCACUUUCAGGCAAGGGCUCAUGGGGCAGCGAGUCACAGACAGGGCUUCCAGUGCCAGUGCUGCCAAGACUGGCACUUCCAAGGCAAAGAUGUCCAAUGGAGCCAGUGUGAGAUGGGCUCUUACUCCUCUAUGUAAACUAGGGUGGAAGGGGAGGGCUGUAUAGCAUGGUCCUUCCUGCUCCUGUGGCUCAGGACCUCAUGAUCCUGCCAAGAACACCUUGUUCACAAAGCCACCUGGAAAAUUGGUCAUUUUGACACCUUUAUUUCCCCUCCACAUAUCCUCACCCUGUUCUCUCAAAAUCUCCUGUCCUUUGGGAGAAAACCCAAAGAUUUUUUUUUUUUUUACUGUAUAUAAUUACUGCACUUUCCCAACCAUGAAUACGUAAGUACUGUCUAGAAAGUCAAUGAAGAUUAUAGCAUUUAAAGAUAAACUGUUUAAGUGCCAUUUGCUUUUAAAAAAAAGUGACCCUUAACCCUCUUGUAUUCUUUUGAGAGGUUAUAUUGGAAUAGAAAUAGGUUCUCUGUCCCUUGGUGGCUACCCGAUCCUCAUAUGAUGUGCUGGCUCAUAGGGCUGGCCUCUAACACUUCUCACCAGGUCUGCCUUUAAACCAUCUCUCCCAAAGGUAACAUAUAUUUUUACAACUUAUGGGAAACUCAGACUUGCUUCUAGUUUUCCCCUAAAGGUAAUUAUAGUCCUCAAACACCACUUUCAGUGAAAAAAAUUAAGCCAUCAGAAGGGCCAAGUUUCUUCCUACAGUAGGACUUUUAUCAAGGAUUUAGUUGGGGGAUAGAAGAAGAGUGCCAUAAGAGAAGAAUUCUACUCAUUAUCUCCUGAUGUAGGCCAUGAGGGAUUUUAUGCUCACAUCUAUCUGCCUAAAAGGGGAGCAGGGGGACUUUCCUUCCCCAGUGAUGUGGGUGCAGACAACCAGCAUAUAAGAAAUCAUUUACUCUGCUCUUGAUUCAACCUUGAUGAAAUGUCUGCCUGCCAGAAGCUGGCCUCAGCUCUGACUAACAACCUGGCAGAACCUCACAGGUCAGUUACUAUUAAUCUAUUAAUUGUGUGAAAAAGGGAAGAGGUAUAAGAGAAGUAAACAAGGGAAAGACCUAUACAAGGUAAAAAAAAAAAAAAAAAAAAAGUAAUUCCUCAAAUGGAAGAGAAAGAAAACAAAAGGCCACUACUCUUACUCUGAUUCUGAGACUGAGGACCUCAUAAACAUAAAGUCACAGCUAGAAGGUUUCUAGAGGACAUGAACUAUUAUAGUCAUUACUCUCCUUAGCAUAAUGCCUGGCACACACUGCGACACCAUUUAGAUGAAUCCUUCAUUGUAGCAACAAAGAAACUGGGCCUGCAGAGGGAGGGUGCCCUACCCAAGGCUCUCCAAGAUUUGGAGAAUUUAAAGAAUGUGGUAUCUAGAAAAAAGCCCAGGCUUGGAGCUUUGGAUGAGACUAUUAACCUUUCUGAGUUUCUGACACUUGGGUAAAGUUGACCUAUCUCACCUGUGAGGAUCAGACAACCUAUGCACUAUGUUUCAAUCAGUGCUAAGCACACAGUUUUUCUACUCUGGCCCUUAACCCUUCCCCAUUGGCCCCUUCUCUCUGAUGCUCCUUUGGAGAUUUUAUCCACCUUUGCCUCAAAGGACCACAAUUAUCAAGUUGAUCACUAAAAUCUCUCAUAUACCGCCACUGGCUAAAUGAGUGCCCAUGGGUUAUCACAAUAAUAAUAAUAUUUACAAAUCAACCAACUCUAGUUGAGACCUACUUUAUGCCAAGUGCCAGGAUAGAGACUUUUGAGAACUUAGUUUUGGGAAAAAAAAUAGAUACUUAUCCUGAAGGCUCUAGAAGAAAAAGAGAGCUCUUACUCAAAGCCAUACAGAAGCACAAACCAAAUAACUUAGGAUCAUGAAGAGGGUGACCCCAGGCUGUAGGAGCAGAGGAUGUGGUGUAUACGCUGAAGUCACAGAUUCCAAUAGCAAGAACUGGGAUUGGAGAUAGUGAAUGAAUCCCUAGCAGAGGAAAAUACAUGAACAAUGGUGAAAAGGCUGGAAACUAAAAGAUGGGAGAAAGGGCAAAAAGAGAGGGUUUUGGAGGUGAAGGGGUCUGACUUCUAUCCUGGCUCUGACUAGCUGUGUGACCUUUCACAGUGUUUUCGUCAUUAAAUAGAAAUUUCCACCUAGCAGCUGGUUUUGAAAAUUAAGCAAGAGUCUACAAGAACCUGACUACCACCUGAUAAUCCAUCAAUAAAUGUUCUUUUUCUCUACUGAAAAAUGUGAGCAUCUCAGCUUGAUGAGAGAACAGAUUCCCAGCCCUCUCUGUGCAUCACAAUCUCCUGGAGAACUUUUUUAAAUAGUUUCAUUCUGUGAAGUGUCUGUUCAGUUCCUUUGCCCAUUUAUUGGUUGGGUUAUUUGUGGGGUUGUUUGUUUAUUUUGGUGUUAAGUUUUUUAGUUCUUUAUCCCUGAAACUAAUGCUCUAUGUGAGGAGCAGGUGGCAAAGAUUUUCUCCUAUUGUGUAGGCUCUUCACACUUUUGUUUGUUCCUCUGCUGUGAAGCAGCUUUUAGUUUGAUGCCAUCCAUUUAUUGCCCAUUUAUUGAUUCUUGAUUUUACUUCUUGCACUUUAGGAGUCUUAUUAAGGAAAUCAGUUCCUGAGAUGAUAUGUUAGAGUGUUGGGCCUACAUUUUCUUCUUGUAUAUACAGGGUUUCUGGUCUAAUACCUAGGUCCUUGAUCCACUUUGAGCAGAGUUUUGUGCAGGGUGAAAACAGGAGCUAAAUUUCAUUCUACUGCGACAGACACUUCACAGAAGAAGAAAUAUAAUUAGUCAACAAAUAUGUGAAAAAAAUGUUCAACAUCUCUAGCAAUUAGAGAAAUGCAAAUCAAAACUACAUUGAGAUUCUUGCUUCAGUCAGAAUGGCAAUCAUCAAGAAUAUAAGUAACAAUAAAUGUUGGUGAGAUGUGCGGAAAAAGGUACAUCAUACAUUGUUGGUGGGACUGCAAAUUGGUGCAGUCACUCUGGAAAGCAGUAUGUAGAUUCCUCAGAAAACUUGGAAUGGAACCACCAUUUGACCCAGCUAUCCCACUCCUUGGAGUAUAUCCAAAACAUUUAAAAAUCAGCAUUCUACAGUGACAGGAUCAUAUCAAUGUUUAUAGCAGCUCAAUUCACAAUAGCUAAACUAUGAAACCAAUAAGUUCCCUUCAAUAAGUGAUUGGAUAAAGAAAAUGUGAUUCACACACACACACACACACACACACACACACUGGAGUAUUACUUGGCCAUAAAGAAGAAUGACCUUAUUAUAUUUGUCAGCAAGUAGAUGGAUAUAGAGACUAUCAUGCUAACUGAAAUAAGCCAAUCCCCCAAAAAUCAAAGGUUGAAUGCUUUCUUUGAUAUGUGGAAGAUAACACAAAAUAUGGGUGGGUGAGGGGAAGAAUAGAAGUGCAGUAGAUUAGACAAUGGGGAAAUGAAAGAAGGAAGGGGGGAUAGGAAAAGAAAAGACAGUGGAAUGGAUCUUACAUAAUUUUCCCACGUACAUAUAUGAAAACAACACAGUGAAUCCCACCAUCACACCAUCAUGUACAUCCAUAACGAUGGAAUCCUAACUUGAAUAAAAUACAUUCCAUGAUUAUAUAAUUAUAUCAAAAUAUAUUCUGCUGUCAAAUAUAACUAAAAUAGCUGGGUCAAAUGGUAGUUGCAUUCCAAGUUUUCUGAGAAAUAUACAUACUGCUUUCCAGAGUGACUGCACCAAAACAGAAUCUAUUAAUAAAUAAAUACUGUUUCCUCACCUUCCUUUCACCAGGGGCUGAUAUCAGGGUUAGAGGCAGAAUUAGACAACUAACAAGACACAGAACACACACACACACACACACAUACACACCAUGUACACCACAUAUGUGCACUCCACACAUACUAUCCAUCACACAACAGACCACACAUGCACACCACACACACACUCCCCGAGCAAGUCCUCUCUAGUACCCCGAAGGGAUAGCUGUCAAGCCCCAGCUCAGUCAGCACCCCAGCUUUCCUGGAAGUCAAUCCAACAGAUGGAGACCCACAAUCUCCCUGCCCCAAGCAGAGAACCACUCAUGGCAGGGCUUUCCCUCCAGAUCUGAGAAAAGAACAGGCAGGAGAGUGGCUGGGCAGACAGUAGAGCUGACUCAGGGAGGGAUGGCACUUUAGUCAGGGAAAGCAGCAGUAGCAAAGGCAGUAACAUAGCAGGAAUAGAAGAUUUUCUGAUGCAAGUGGUAAUCCUAGAAAAGAGAUUUGAAUGCCAAAACACUGGACUUUUAAAGAGAACAAGUAAUCUUGGAAGGUUCUGAGUAGAGGAUACUUGAAAGAUUAGUCCCACAGAAUGGUAAAGAAUGAAUCAGAAAGAGAAACGCCUGGAAUGAGCCAUGGCCAUGGUAAUGGAGAACAACAAAUCCCAAGGAGUUUUUUCUGGAAGAAGCCAAGUGUCUUGUGGAAAAUGGGAAAUGGAAAGAGCAUUAAUCCCUGAGGCCUCCAGGACCCUGGGCAACCUUCCCUCCACGUUCCCUUCCCCCUAAAUGCUGCUAAGAAAGAGUUCACAGCACCCUCAGCAGUCCCAAGUACCCACCCAGUCACCCACGUCUGAUACAACCCCAGCCAUCUAAUGUCCAUCAGUGUCCAUCUAAUGACUAUUCUCCUGGGCCCCAAGGAAAUGACCAUGCUGUGGUCCUCUGGAGCCUCUGAAGAUAACAGCCACCCUGGUGCCCAGGCAGCCAGUCCCCUUGCUGCUGUCUACCCAGAUACAACCAAUUGUUGAUGGGACAUCUAGCCUGGGCAUGUUCUCACGGCCUUUGCAAUGCAACACAUCCAGCACUAUGUUGUUGCCCAUAAAACAGCCUACAGUGAGAAAAAUGAGCAGAAACACUAUAGUUCUCAGGACCACCCAAUAUACUCCCCAAUCACACACCCAAGAACAAAGAAAUCAUCCUGCCUAUCCCUUUCCCAACUGUGCAGCACAGUACAGUUUCAGAGAGGUUCUAAAAUUGGGCCUCAUGACAGCCCUACAAGGCAGGCAGGCAGGGCAUGAUAAGUGUGUUUCAGAGAUGAAGACACUGAAGAUCAGAGCAAUGUAAGAUCAGAGCUGCAUAGGGGGGGAGGCAAUGUGGAGGGAAGGUUGCCCAGGGUCCUAGAGGCCUCAGAAAUGCUCUUUCCAUUUCCCACUUUCACUGGAGAUGAGGACACUGAAAAUGAGAGCAACGGGAGAGUUUGCCUGGAGUUACUGAAUGAGUAAGCACUCAUUCAGUCCCACAGCUAAGGAUAGAAAGAACCUGAACAUCAAACUCCCAAUGUAGUAAGACUUCCCAGCGGAGGUGACAUUUGCGCAGGAUGGGAGCUGGUCUGGGGAAAAUGAGAAAGUUUCCACCUAUGGAGAAAUGCAAAGGUGCUCCCUGGGGAAGAAAGCAGGCUGGUGGGAUUGAAUGAGUGCUUAGUACCCAAUCAUCACUUUCCAACAAAAGCAACCUAGUCUGAGAAAUUCUCUUUUUAGAUGUUUCUGCAUAGGACAGGAGGCAUUAUAGUUUAGGAGCCACAGUCAGGGAUCCCAGGAGCCUACAGCACCAUCACAAAUAAUAGCAAGAUCAAGCAGAAGGAACACAGAAGCCCUGGUUCCUAGUUUCACUUAUGGAAAUCCUCAUGCAGGGAAGGGGUAUCUGGCUCCAUAUGUGAUGUUUCUUGGCAACCACUGUGUCCUAGGGUACCCCUCACUCUAGGCCUUCCUUUGAGGAUUCCCGCUCCAAUGAUCUUUUUAGUAAAACCAUUAGCUCCCAUCCCUCUUCUGCCUGCAGCCUAGACCAACUCUAACCAGAAACAGACCUAAUAAUUGGGAGUGGGGAGAAGCUAUCACCACUGGCAAGGUAACCCUGGCAAACCAGGAGCCCAAAAGUUAGCAUGAGCUGAUUUAAGAUCAACACAACAUCUAAAUAAGAAAAAAAAGAACUUGUCUUUAAUCACUCAUAGUAUUUUAUUUAUUUACUUAAGAAUGAGGAAAUGGCAAUUGGAACAAGUGAUUACAGCUUCUGCUGAGCACCCUUGACUUUUCCAAAGGUGAGCUCCAUUUCUUCAUACUUUGUCUCCAGAUCCCAAUGACAAAAGCUACUGUUUGAUAUUAAAGCUUCAGUACUUUCAGUUUUUGGUUAUCCUCAUUUUGCAAUCAAGUAUUUUCUUAACCACACUGAUUUUUUUUUUUUUGGGGCGGGGAGGUAUUGCUGGGGAUUGAAUCCAGGGCCUCAUGGAUUUUAGGAAAGUAUCCCAAAUCCAGCUUUUUAAAUUUUAAAAUGCUGGAGGUAAGGGUGUCAGCAACCCCACCUGAGAAGGCACAGGGAGAAAGAAGCCACAAAAAAUAAUCAUUCUAGAAAGAACCCUGACACCCGGGUGCCCAGGGGCUAUGAGAGUUCCAUUCGGGGAUACAUUAGAAUCAUAAAUUGUAUCCUUAGAAUCAGAGAAGUCCAGGUGUUACAAUGUCACUUCACACCAUCUGCACCAGCACAAACCUUAUCCAAAGGCCCACCCACUAAACUACCCAGAUCAAAAUAUGCUGUCUAGCCUCCCACCUGCCCAGAACACACAUCUAACUUAACCCUCCAUUGAGCACCCCAUUAAUGUAUUACUGGAUGCAGGGGAAGCUCUUGGGAAAUUAACUGAGUCUGGCAAGAGUAGAAGGUAAAGGCUCCAGUGCCCAGGCACUUUGUAUCUCUGCUACCCAGAUGUGUACUUUAGUAAGACAAAGCUGUUUCCUAAUGUUCACACCAGGGAACAAGCCAGGGGAAACACCACUGUCGGGUACCUAAAGAGCAAAACCCUGGCUAACAGCUUUGUUUGAAAAAGUCAUUUGUUGAGACAGGAAGGAGUUGGACAUAGUGUAACAAUCCAAAUAUGAAACUUAAGACUUAUAGAAGAGGGAAACCACUCACACAGAUUUGAGAGGCACCAUGAAAGGCAGAAACAGCAAUUUGUUUUGUGGCAGAAUUCUUCAAUCAAUAAGGUAUAGAAGACAAACCUCUCAUUUUUUAUAACAGUUUUAUUCAAACAAUUACAUAAAGUAAGAUCUAUUAUUUUUACGUGAAAUUCUAUUUUUUAUUUUAAUUUGUUAUAAUGGCAGAAUUCAUUACAAUUCAUAUUACACAUAUAGAUCACAAUUUUAAGAUCUAUUCUUUUAAAGCAUACAAUUCAGUGAUUUUUUUACUCUAUGUGAGAACAUAUAGAGUACUUAGACAAAUUAAGAUAUCUAUGAUGUCUCUAGAUGAUACAAUCUAAUUAGUCCACCAUUGUAUACACAGUCUACCUGUAUUAGCUUUUUUGUUACUAUGACUAAAAGACCUGACAAGAACAAUUUUAGAGGAGGGAUAUUUAUUUGGGGGCUCACAGUUUCAGAACUCAGUCCACAGACAGCUAGCUUCAUUCCUUGGGACUCACAGUGAAGUAGGACACCAUGGCAGAAGAAUAUGACAGAAGGAAGCAGCUCACAUGAUAAUCAAGAAGCAGAGAGAGAGAGAGACUCCACUUGCUAGAUACAAAAUAUAUACCCCAAAAGCACACCACCAAGCACCUUCUCCAGCCACACCCCAUCCACCUUCAGUUACCACUCACUCAGUUAAUCCCAUCAGGAGACUAAUUCACUGAUUGGGUUAAGGCUCUCGUAGCCUGAUCAUUUCACCUCUGAAUGUUCUUGCAUUGUCUCACAUGUGAGCUUUUGGAGGACAACUAAUAUCUAAGCCAUAACAUUAUCACUAACAGAAACAUUGUCAUGCAGCACAUAAUAGUAUUUACCGUAGUUCUCAUUACCAGAUUCAUGUCCAGCUUUCAAUAAAAAUGUAAAAUUACGCUAAAAAAUGAGAAAAAUAACAGUCUAAAGAAACAAAGUAAGCAUCAGACUCAGACAUGAUAAAGAUUCUUGAAUGAUCAAAUAGGAAUAUGGCUGAACUGAAAAGCAUUGUCAAUGAAAUGGAUCUAAAAUUUAUAAAAUACUUCAUCCAACAAUGGAAGAAAACAUACUCUAUUCUACUCAGGUGGAAUAUUCACCAAGAUAGACUAUAUUCUGGGUCAUAAAACAUGCCUCAGCAGAUUUAAAAGAAUAGAAAUCUUACAACAUAAGCUCUCAGGCAAUUAAACUAAACUAGAAAUUGAUAACACAAAGGUACCCCUCAAACCCCAAAUACAUAAAGAUUAAACAGUACAUUUUAAAAUAGAACAUUGAUUAAAGAAGUUUCCUGAAACUUUAGAGAAGAUUAAACUAAAUGAAAGUGGAAAUAAAACAUUAAAAUUUGCAGGAAGCAGCAAGAACAAUGUUUAGAGGGAAAUUCACACAAGACUUUAAUUCUGACAACUUUACGACAUGGAUUCCACGUGCCACCCCAUUUUACAGUCAAGAGAACUAAGGCACUAGGAGGUAGGAGGCUUGUUGGCCAAGGUUGCACAGCUACAAUGGCAGAGCUGGGAUUUACAUACAGGCAAUCCCACUCCAAACUCCACAUGCUUUUAAAAAAAAUUUUAGUUGUAGAUGUUCACAAUAGCUUUAUUUUGUUUAUUUAGUUUUUUUUUGUUUUAAUGUGAUACUGAGGAUUGAAUCCAGCACCUCAUGUGUGCUAGGCAAGCACUCUACCACUGAGCCACAACCCCAGCCCCAAACCCUACACCCUUAACUCUCUGCUACAGGCCAAUCUCAUGAGACACCUACAACUCUGUGCCUGAACUGAACAGGUGACAUGUGCUAAUGCCUAUACCUACUCACAAAGAUAGUUUGGUGACAUCUAUGGAGAACAACAAGAAACUCUCCCAGCUUCUGAAAGGGCAGACAAGUCAUUUCUCUAUUCUUUUAAAAACAUAAAGGAAAUUCUUUCAUCCCUGAGAUGUUUUUUCUUAUCUUCAUAAAGAGAUUUGACAGAGGGGGGAAAAUGGCUUUCUUCCUUUUUAAUUCAAGGCUAGCUUGGACAACCUGGCAAGACCCAGUCUCCAAAUAAAAAAGAAAUAAAUUAAAAGAUUUGGGGACAAGACUCUGUGGUAGAGCACCACUGGUUCAACCCUCAGCACUGCAAAAAAAAAAAAAAAAUGACUAAUAAAAAUAAAGUGAUAUAAUCUUAUAAAAUGUGUUACCUUGAGGAGAGAACCCACACAGAAAAGAAUUUUGAGAGAUAUAAGUUGCUAUAAUACCACCAAUAUCUUCAAGUGUGGGAGGCCAUCCUCGCACGUGAUUUGAGUUACCUCCCUGGCUGGGUGAGAGGCGCUUAGGCACAGCUAUGUCCAAAGCUUUCCCCAUCCUUCUCAGGUUCCGAAGGCUUGUCUGUUCGGAGGCAUGUCUGGCCACUACCCUGAAGACCCAAUCAUUGCCCCUGACCUUGGGAUGCGGCCCCCCUUAAUCUUCAUUGGAUGGGAUUUUCCCCAGAAUUUUUUGUUCCCCAAUAAAAGUCCACUCCAUGGCGUGUUCUCUCUCUCUCUCUCUCUCUCUCUCUCUCUCUCUCUCUCUCUCUCUCUCUCUCUCUCUCCCCCCUCUUUAGUAAACCUCGCUACCACAAUGGGUGGCUGAAGGCUGGACCUAGGAGGAGCCAUCCUGGAGCUGGUUUAAAGGUAAUUA
rnacentral:lncRNA from 1 species